CGCAUAUACACCGGGAUACCUCCUACCUCAUCGGCCUGUGCGCUCUGAUUCGGGCCCUUUACUCGUUGUAAAUUCUCGAAAGAUGCGAGGAGCUGUGUCGCUAUGUUCUGCGUCUCGAGUGUUCCAGAACUCCCGCUGGCAUCUCUCUCCUCGUCGAGAACGAGAACGACCGUUGCACUGUGGACUGUCGGGGGCUCUACAGCGAAGGCACAGGCGACUUCAGGCUCGACGGCAAUCCCCAGAAGCGGGUUUCUCGUGAUAUCUCGGAUGGGUUUCUUUCCACGUCCACUCGCGUUUCCCUGGAGAUUCAUCGCCCCUUUAGGGUCUAGGCGUCCACUCGGCGAGCUCUUCGGAGCUGCCUUUGCGUUGCCUUUGCUACUUUUCCCCCCCGGUUGAGCCAUCGUUACGCCGAGACCGUACCGUCAGUUGCACACCCCUGCCACGGGACGCGCCGCAGCCUCUCAGCGGAUAAAACGGAGACAGUCCCAACAGUGGAAAGGAGCGCUACGGCGCGGGUUCGAAGAGAUUUGCUUAGAGCGGCCUCGGCAAAUUCGUGGAACCCUACAGAGCAUCUCUUUUUGGUCGGAACAAAGGUCGCGUAAGGCAGACGGUGUCUCAGAGGAGAACACGGUGGACGUGGCCGGGGCGCGGAAGAGAGGAGGAAUGCAAUCAGGCCUCCGACACCGGCGAGGCACGCAAAAGGAGACGUCUGUAAAAGCGCGAUUCUUUUCAUUCCUUCGGUGACCGGGAAGUGCGAUGUUCUCGGCUAUUCUUCCAGGCCGGCCACAUCCCUUGUUCCGCAUAUGAAAAUGCAACUGCCUAUGUGAAUGUGCUAACACAUGCAUGCCUACCUGCAUAUAUUGCAGUGCAAACGUGCAUACAUGUAAGUCGUCAACGUGUGUAUCUAGAUCGAGAACGCUUUCCCUGGAUUUACGAGAGAGACGAUUCCACAAUUUCACCGGCGAAAGGGUAACUGUAAAACAAAAAACCAACUGCAAGACAGUGUGGAGAAAGGAGGAUAUGGCAAGAAAAUGGAGCGGGCCCGUCAAAACUUUCGUUGAGGUUCCCCCCGAGGUAGAAACCUGCAAGUGCGACUGUGCAUAUCCUUUUUCCCAACGCUCGGUUGGAAAAGAGUUCAUCUGGUGUGGACGACACUUUUGGCAAAUCGAAAUGCAUGUAGACAGAUGGAGUUUUUGUGUGUUGAUUCUUCUUCCCAUACGGGUAUUUAGACUGUUACAUGAAGAGUGCGACUGUUAUAUAUACGGGUCUGUGUGUCGGGAUGCAGGAAGGCGGAGGCGAAGAGUUCGGUCAACAUGUCAGCGUCAGUGCUGGACGUGUUUCUCGGCAGAUGGCAAACAGUGACACAAACAAGAAAACAACUUCAGGACGGACAUGCGCGUACAAUCCAGAGGUCGUCGACCAGGAGUCACCCCGACUGGGUGGCCAAGGACAACGACGCACAGAACGCCUGAGAGAGUUCCAGGGUUUGACCAUUUGGAAGGUUACGAUCAACGAAAAAUCCCGCAGUGCGUUUUUGAGUAGGCCUCAGAUCUAACGCGUUAAUGUCUCCCUGGAACGUGUCCGUCCGUCGUUUUUCCAGAGGAAGGUCAAACAACGUGAGGCGCCCCGUCGAGGGCGGUCUUUGUCGAGGGACUUCCCGGAAUCACGCCGAGUCCGUCGGUUCCUGGCGUUUUCCUCGUCCAUUCGGAUAACUGAGACGGCAGGCAAAAGCAAUUAACGCCAACCCGAAAACGAGAAAAGGAAUGGAAAGGACAACCAAGCAAACGCCCAGUCCCAUGACACGCCACGCGCGCGCGGAAAAACUGGACUUUGAUGUGUGGUUCGUUUUUUGAGGGGCCCGCGAAAAGCUUAUGACUCUGGUGUGGACAUGCGAAUGUAUAAAGCCUGUGCAUGUUGUGUUUCUGGGUAACACAAGUCGCAUUUCUCUACGCAUUUCGGGGUUUCCAGUACACAUCGAAUUAGAUCGGUAUUUGAUCUAACGAGGGGGAUGCGCAUCCGUGACAGCAUGAUGCGCGGGAACAAGGAGAAAUCGCCCACAAAAUUAUUCUGAAAAAAAAGGCGUUCAAACUGGAUGCGAGCAACUGUGAACCACGUCUGUACCCGAGGCGAACUCUUGCACCAAAUCAAACCGAUUCCGUCGGCGCCUGCAAAAACGCAACCCACAGGAAAACGGCGCUCUUCUGUGUGUUGUGCGUGUGUGUUCAUGGGUCCAUCUAGUCGAGAUUGCCCGGCUUGGCGGAACUGGUUGCGCUUGACCUUGUUUUUCGGGCGUUUCCCGACACCGCGGCGGCCAUCGACAGCCUACUGGCCGAAUCCAGGGAUCUCCUCUCGUCCACGGUCCCAAUUUUGUUCGGCUGUGUUUCCCUUUUGCGUGGUCUCUGACGCGGUCUUUCCUCGCUUCAACCCCUAUUUGCUCACGUACCCAGCGUCCAUGCAUUGCACUCCAGAAGAAUACUCCACGGAUCCUGAUUUCGUUCCGGGACCUGUCGCUCCGUUGGGCGCUCUACACACGAAGAAUCCGAAAACCCGUACCACACACGCACACAUGACUACUCUCUCGGACGCCCCGGC
rnacentral:lncRNA from 1 species